UCGGGAACUUUGGGCAAUGGGCGAAAGCCUGACCCAGCAACGCCGCGUGAAGGAUGAAGUAUUUCGGUAUGUAAACUUCGAAAGAAUAGGAAGAAUAAAUGACGGUACUAUUUAUAAGGUCCGGCUAACUACGUGCCAGCAGCCGCGGUAAUACGUAGGGACCAAGCGUUGUUCGGAUUUACUGGGCGUAAAGGGCGCGUAGGCGGCAAUUCAAGUCAUCUGUGAAAUCUCCGGGCUUAACUCGGAACGGUCAGAUGAUACUGCUUUGCUAGAGUGCAGAAGGGGCAAUCGGAAUUCUUGGUGUAGCGGUGAAAUGCGUAGAUAUCAAGAGGAACACCUGAGGUGAAGACGGGUUGCUGGGCUGACACUGACGCUGAGGCGCGAAAGCCAGGGGAGCAAACGGGAUUAGAUACCCAUGUAGUCCCUGAGCGGGCUGGCAAGGCGCAU
rnacentral:rRNA from 1 species